CCUACGGGUGGCAGCAGUGGGGAAUAUUGCACAAUGGGCGCAAGCCUGAUGCAGCCAUGCCGCGUGUGUGAAGAAGGCCUUCGGGUUGUAAAGCACUUUCAGCGGGGAGGAAGGCGUUAAGGUUAAUAACCUUGGCGAUUGACGUUACCCGCAGAAGAAGCACCGGCUAACUCCGUGCCAGCAGCCGCGGUAAUACGGAGGGUGCAAGCGUUAAUCGGAAUUACUGGGCGUAAAGCGCACGCAGGCGGUCUGUCAAGUCGGAUGUGAAAUCCCCGGGCUCAACCUGGGAACUUCAUUCGAAACUGGCGGGCUAGAGUCUUGUAGAGGGGGGUAGAAUUCCAGGUGUAGCGGUGAAAUGCGUAGAGAUCUGGAGGAAUACCGGUGGCGAAGGCGGCCCCCUGGACAAAGACUGACGCUCAGGUGCGAAAGCGUGGGGAGCAAACAGGAUUAGAUACCCCGGUAGUC
rnacentral:rRNA from 1 species